rnacentral:lncRNA from 8 species
AUGGCUCACCUCUCACAGUUCUGGGUGACUUUAACCUCCCCAUGUCUACCUUUGACUCAUUCCUCUCUGCCUCCUUUUUUCCACUCCUCUUUUCACCUCACCCUCUCACCUUCCGCCCCUACUCACAAGGCAGGCAAUACGCUUGACCUCAUCUUUACUACAUGCUGUUCUUCCACUAAUCUCAUUGCAACUCCCCUCCAAGUCUCCGACCACUACCUUGUAUUCUUUUCCCUCUCGCUCUCAUCCAACACUUCUCACUCUGCCCCUACUCGGAUGGUAUUGCGCCGUCCCAACCUUCGCUCUCUCUCUCCCGCCACUCUCUCCUCUUCCAUCCUAUCAUCUCUUCCCUCUGCUCAAACCUUCUCCAACCUAUCCCCUGAUUCUGCCUCCUCAACCCUCCUCUCCUCCCUUUCUGCAUCCUUUGAUUCUCUAUGUCCCCUAUCCUACAGGCCGGCUCGGUCCUCCCCUCCUGCUCCGUGGCUCGACGACUCAUUGCGAGCUCACAGAACAGGGCUCCGGGCAGCCGAGCGGAAAUGGAGGAAAACUUGCCUCCCUGCGGACCUGGCAUCCUUUCACUCCCUCCUCUCUACAUUUUCCUCUUCUGUCUCUGCUGCUAAAGCCACUUUCUACCACUCUAAAUUCCAAGCAUCUGCCUCUAACCCUAGGAAGCUCUUUGCCAACUUCUCCUCCCUCCUGAAUCCUCCUCCCACCGCCCUACCCUGUGCUUUGACCUCUUUCUCCCCUCUCUCUCCAGAUGAAAUCUCGCGUCUUGUGACGGCCGGCCGCCCAACAACCUGCCCGCUUGACCCUAACCAGGUGGUGUGGCGAGAAUCUGUCUCCGCACCACGUGCUCUCACCACUGGUGUCCCCCAGGGCUCUGUUCUAGGCCCUCUUCUAUUCUCGCUAUACACCAAGUCACUUGGCUCUGUCAUAUCCUCACAUGGUCUCUCCAUGACGGAUCACCACCUCAAGCUGAACCUCGGCAAGACGGAGCUGCUCUUCCUCCCGGGGAAGGAUUGCCCGUUCCAUGAUCUCUCCAUCACGGCUGACAACUCCCUUGUGUCCUCCUCCCAGAGUGCUAAGAACCUUGCCGUGACCCUGGACAACACCCUGUCGUUCUCCACUAACAUCAAGGCGGUGACCCGAUCCUGUAGGUUCAUGCUCUACAAAAUUCGCAGAGUACGACCCUGCCUCACACAGGAAGCGGCGCAGGUCCUAAUCCAGGCACUUGUCAUCUCCCGUCUGGAUUACUGCAACUCACUGUUGGCUGGGCUCCCUGCCUGUGUUAAACCCCUACAACUCAUCCAGAGGAUAAAGUAA